CAGUAGCCACGGGAAUACGUAGGUGGCAAGCGUUGUCCGGAAUUAUUGGGCGUAAAGGGCUCGCAGGCGGUUUCUUAAGUCUGAUGUGAAAGCCCCCGGCUCAACCGGGGAGGGUCAUUGGAAACUGGGAAACUUGAGUGCAGAAGAGGAGAGUGGAAUUCCACGUGUAGCGGUGAAAUGCGUAGAGAUGGGGAGGAACACCAGUGGCGAAGGCGACUCUCUGGUCUGUAACUGACGCUGAGGAGCGAAAGCGUGGGGAGCGAAUAGGAUUAGAUACCCCAGUAGUCCCUGUCUCUUAUAC
rnacentral:rRNA from 1 species